GUCGUUGUAGUAUAGUGGUGAGUAUUCCCGCCUGUCACGCGGGUGACCCGGGUGACCCGGGUUCGAUCCCCGGCAACGGCG